rnacentral:rRNA from 1 species
UACGUAGGGAGCAAGCGUUGUCCGGAAUCACUGGGCGUAAAGCGCACGUAGGCGGGUUUUUAAGUCAGAGGUGAAAUCCUGGAGCUCAACUCCAGAACUGCCUUUGAUACUGAAGAUCUUGAGUUCGGGAGAGGUGAGUGGAACUGCGAGUGUAGAGGUGAAAUUCGUAGAUAUUCGGAAGAACACCAGUGGCGAAGGCGGCUCACUGGCCCGGUACUGACGCUGAAAUACGAAAGCGUGGGGAGCAAACAGG